UCACAUCUGCAACCGCACGUCUAAGGUAAGAAGUAAGCUAACGUUAGCUUCACCUUUUUACGGCGAGUCUAAGUAUUUUU
rfam:Lactobacillus hominis DSM 23910 = CRBIP 24.179, type strain:CRBIP 24.179, WGS project CAKE01000000 data, contig: 11